rnacentral:rRNA from 1 species
GACGAACGCUGGCGGCGUGCCUAAUACAUGCAAGUCGAACGCUGAAGAGAGGAGCUUGCUCUUCUUGGAUGAGUCGCGCACGGGUGAGUAACGCGUAGGUAACCUGCCUUGUAGUGGGGGAUAACUAUGGGAAACGGUAGCUAAUACCGCAUAACAAUGGAUGACCCAUGUCAUUUAUUUGAAAGGGGCAAAUGCUCCACUACAAGAUGGACCUGCGUUGUAUUAGCUGGUAGGUGAGGUAACGGCUCACCUAGGCGACGAUACCUAGCCGACCUGAUAGGGUGGUCGGCCAGCCUGGGACGGUGACACGGCCCAGACGCCUUCGGGAGGCAGCAGUAGGGAAUCUUCGGCAAUGGGGGCAACCCUGACCGAGCUACGCCGCGGGAGUGAAGAAGGAUGUCGGGUCGUAAAGCUCGGUUGUAAGUCAAGAACGAGUGUGAGAGUGGAAAGUUCACACUGUGACGGUAGCUGAUCAGAAAGGGCCGGCUAACUACGUG